rnacentral:lncRNA from 1 species
AAAACAAAAGUUCUUUGGAGUCUAGAUUCCCCCAAGAAUUUAAGGAGGGAUCUAGAAUCCAAAAUUUUAAGAACUGUAGGAUUGGACAAAAUAACAAGACAUCCUCUCACUACGUUAGGCUUUUGUUCUUAUAAAAUUGCUUUAUAUUUUGUAGUCUCAGUAUUGGAUUGACCACUUUCUGAAAUAGAAUAAUGAAUGAUGGUUCUUGAAACAAAAGCUAAAUAAAUUGAUCUGUAAUGAUAGCUGUUUAGAUUGUUGGUCAGUAAAAACACUAUUUCAUAGUAAUUAAUAGCUGCACUAACCAUAAAUUUCAUGGCAGCUUGCUAUGAUAAGAGUAUAAUCAAAAUAUUACUUCAUGAAAUCUUAUUUUACACUUUUUGUUGCGUUUGAGUACAGUUUAUGUUUCAUACUUUUAAAAUCCCCUUUGCUACCCCUUCUGGUUUUAUAAACUGAGAUUCUCAACAUUUAUGAUAUAAUUAAGGGGCUUAUCUGGAAUAAUGUAUAUUUUUAUGCUUUGCCUUUCCUACCUGGUUGAUACUGCAUUUGCCUUUCAUCAUUUUUAAUGAAGAUUUAUUUUUGCAGAGUAUACUUAGUACCUUUCUAAGCAGUAAGUAAAUGGAAUUAAACAAUUUAUAUUUCAAUAAAAUGAUCUGCUCAAGGUUCCUGCAGUAUAUUGAUUUUCAAACCUCCACCUACAUUGUUUCUGUCUGGAAUCCUUAAAUGGGUACUUUUUGCUUUCCUGCUCUAAAUGUCACAAUGAAUUAUAUAUGUUUUAAAUAAAUAAGAUAACUGCUUCUUUUCCUGUUGACUAAUAAAAAAGGGAGAUGUUAUGUUUGUUGAUUGCUAAUGAUAACUUCAAGAUUGAUGAUCUGACCCAGUAACUACAGAGGUAGCUUUAACUUCGUUCUGUAUUAAUAGCGUGUAUUUUAUUACAGUACUUCACAUUUUCAAAUGCUUGAUUUACAUUAAAUUAUCAUAUUUAACUUUUUAUGUUUAUACUAGAUACAAUUUUCUUAUGUUUCUGUGUUUUUGGUAUGCUAAAUAAAGCUAUUUUUAAACCCAACAGUUUAUUUUUUCUUAUAUGAUUAGAUAGAAAAAUACUGCAUAAGUUCUUAGUAAUUACAUUUUAAUUAGGUAAAAUUAUUGUAUUUUUAUUAUGAAUUUUUAGGCUAUCACUGUACAGAAAUCAGAAAUAAUCUAGUGCAAACAUCAGUUUUCUCAGAAUUAAAAACUUUCUAUACUAUUUUUUAAUUACCUAAAGAAAUGGAAACAUCUGUUUCAUGUGAGACACCCACUAUUGUGUAUUUUGUUAACUCAUGGUAAUAGUGAGUGAUUUCUACAGAUAUUUUUUUAAAGCUGGCUUUUUCUUGCUUAAGAUAACUUAUUUUUGGCAUUUGGCAUAAAGGUAACAAGUGAUUAAAAUGUUGUGACCACAUGACAUUCCCCCAAAUGUAGCUACCUUAAAAUACCAAAGGCUGAUUUCAAUA